UACGUAGGGGGCUAGCGUUGUCCGGAAUCAUUGGGCGUAAAGCGCGUGUAGGCGGUCCGGUAAGUCCGCUGUGAAAGUCGGGGGCUCAACCCUCGGAUGCCGGUGGAUACUGUCGGGCUUGAGUACGGAAGAGGCGAGUGGAAUUCCUGGUGUAGCGGUGAAAUGCGUAGAUAUCUGGAGGAAUACCGGUGGCGAAGGCGGCAUCCUGGACCAUAACUGACGCUGAGGCGCGAAAGCUAGGGGAGCAAACGGG
rnacentral:rRNA from 1 species